UACCAUAUGCUUGUCUCAAAGAUUAAGCCAUGCAUGUCUAAGUAUAAGCAUUUAUACAGCGAAACUGCGUACAGCUCAUUACAUCAGUUAUUAUUUCUUUGAAGAUGUUUUACUAUAUGGAUACCCGUAGUAAUUCUAGAGCUAAUACAUGCGUUGAUCAUUAUGUUGUAUAAUGUAAUGAGAGUUUAUUAGAUCUUUACCUAAAUUUCAGGUGAUUCAUAGUAACCAAUCGAAUGCUUAUUUAUGAUAAGCAUGGUUCAUUCAAAUUUCUGCCCUA
rnacentral:rRNA from 1 species